rnacentral:tRNA from 1 species
UGUGAUGUAAUGGCAGCAUGUCAGACUCUGACUCUGACAACCGUGGUUCGAUUCCG